AGCGUAACAAGGUCUCCGUUGGUGAACCAGCGGAGGGAUCAUUACAGAGUUAUCUAACUCCCAAAACCCAUGUGAACUUACCUUUGUUGCCUCGGCAGAAGCUACCUGUACCUACCUGGAACAGCCUACCUGGAGCGAUCCGGGCUGGCCUACCUGGAACGGUCUGGUGGUCGACUGCCGGUGGACCAUUCAACUCUUGUUAUUUUAUUGUAAUCUGAGCGUCUUAUUUUAAUAAGUCAAAACUUUCAACAACGGAUCUCUUGGUUCUGGCAUCGAUGAAGAACGCAGCGAAAUGCGAUAAGUAAUGUGAAUUGCAGAAUUCAGUGAAUCAUCGAAUCUUUGAACGCACAUUGCGCCCAUUAGUAUUCUAGUGGGCAUGCCUGUUCGAGCGUCAUUUCAACCCUUAAGCCUAGCUUAGUAUUGGGAGUCUACUGUAUUGUAGUUCCUCAAAUCCAACGGCGGAUCUGUGGUAUCCUCUGAGCGUAGUAAAUUUUUAUCUCGCUUUUGUCAGGUGCUGCAGCUCCCAGCCGCUAAACCCCCAAAUUUUUAAUGGUGACCUCGGAUCAGGUAGGAAUACCCGCUGAACUUAAGCAUAUCAAAA
rnacentral:misc_RNA from 1 species